rnacentral:rRNA from 1 species
GACGAACGCUGGCGGCGUGCUUAACACAUGCAAGUCGAACGGAAAGGCCCUGCUUGCAGGGUACUCGAGUGGCGAACGGGUGAGUAACACGUGGGUGAUCUGCCCUGCACUUCGGGAUAAGCCUGGGAAACUGGGUCUAAUACCGGAUAGGAGCCAUUUUUAGUGUGAUGGUUGGAAAGUUUUUUCGGUGUAGGAUGAGCUCGCGGCCUAUCAGCUUGUAGGUGGGGUAAUGGCCUACCAAGGCGGCGACGGGUAGCCGGCCUGAGAGGGUGGACGGACACAUUGGGACUGAGAUACGGCCCAGACUCCUACGGGAGGCAGCAGUGGGGAAUAUUGCACAAUGGGCGCAAGCCUGAUGCAGCGACGCCGCGGGGGGGAUGACGGCCUUCGGGUUGUAAACUCCUUUCGCUAGGGACGAAGCUUUUUGUGACGGUACCUAGAUAAGAAGCACCGGCUAACUACGUG